UCGGGGCCGGUUUUGCGGCGUUGACGCCCC
rnacentral:sRNA from 1 species